AUGCAAGUCGAACGCUUGUCGGGCUUCGGUCCGGCGGGAGUGGCGCACGGGUGAGUAGCGCGUGGGAACCUGCCCUGUUGUGGGGGAUAACCGAGGGAAACUUCGGCUAAUACCGCAUGCGCCCGCGGAGUUGAUCUGCGGGGAAAGAUUUAUCGCAGCAGGAGGGGCCCGCGUCGGAUUAGCUGGUUGGCGGGGUAACGGCCCACCAAGGCGAUGAUCCGUAGCUGGUCUGAGAGGAUGAUCAGCCACACUGGGACUGAGACACGGCCCAGACUCCUACGGGAGGCAGCAGUGGGGAAUAUUGGACAAUGGGGGCAACCCUGAUCCAGCAAUGCCGCGUGAGUGAUGAAGGCCUUCGGGUUGUAAAGCUCUUUCGCCCGCGACGAUGAUGACGGUAGCGGGAGAAGAAGCCCCGGCUAACNUUCGUG
rnacentral:rRNA from 1 species